rnacentral:rRNA from 1 species
UACGUAGGGUGCGAGCGUUGUCCGGAAUUAUUGGGCGUAAAGAGCUCGUAGGCGGUUUGUCGCGUUCGGCUGUGAAAACUCGGGGCUCAACCCCGAGCCUGCAGCCGAUACGGGCAGACUAGAGUUCGGCAGGGGAGACUGGAAUUCCUGGUGUAGCGGUGAAAUGCGCAGAUAUCAGGAGGAACACCGGUGGCGAAGGCGGGUCUCUGGGCCGAUACUGACGCUGAGGAGCGAAAGCGUGGGGAGCGAACAGG